GAUGAACGCUGGCGGCGUGCCUAAUACAUGCAAGUCGAGCGAACAGACGAGGAGCUUGCUCCUCUGACGUUAGCGGCGGACGGGUGAGUAACACGUGGAUAACCUACCUAUAAGACUGGGAUAACUUCGGGAAACCGGAGCUAAUACCGGAUAAUAUUUUGAACCGCAUGGUUCAAUAGUGAAAGACGGUUUUGCUGUCACUUAUAGAUGGAUCCGCGCUGCAUUAGCUAGUUGGUAAGGUAACGGCUUACCAAGGCAACGAUGCAUAGCCGACGUGAGAGGGUGAUCGGCCACACUGGAGCUGAAACACGGUCCAGACGCCUACGGGAGGCAGCAGUAGGGAAUCUUCCGCAAUGGGCGAGAGCCUGACGGAGCAACGCCGCGUGAGUGAUGAAGGUCUUCGGAGCGUAAAACUCUGUUAUUAGGGAAAAACAGAUGUGUAAGUAACUGUGCACAUCUUGACGGUACCUAAUCAGAAAGCCACGGCUAACUACGUG
rnacentral:rRNA from 1 species